rnacentral:rRNA from 1 species
UACAGAGGGGGCAAGCGUUGUUCGGAAUUACUGGGCGUAAAGGGCGCGUAGGCGGCCUUCUAAGUCGAACGUGAAAUCCCCGGGCUCAACCCGGGAACUGCGUCCGAUACUGGAAGGCUUGAAUCCGGGAGAGGGAUGCGGAAUUCCAGGUGUAGCGGUGAAAUGCGUAGAGAUCCGGAGGAACACCAGAGGCGAAGGCGGCCUACUGGGUCAGUACUGACGCUGAGCCGCGAAAGCCAGGGGAGCGAACGGG